GACGAACGCUGGCGGCGUGCCUAAUACAUGCAAGUUGAGCGCUGAAGGUUGGUACUUGUACCAACUGGAUGAGCAGCGAACGGGUGAGUAACGCGUGGGGAAUCUGCCUUUGAGCGGGGGACAACAUUUGGAAACGAAUGCUAAUACCGCAUAAAAACUUUAAACACAAGUUUUAAGUUUGAAAGAUGCAAUUGCAUCACUCAAAGAUGAUCCCGCGUUGUAUUAGCUAGUUGGUGAGGUAAAGGCUCACCAAGGCGAUGAUACAUAGCCGACCUGAGAGGGUGAUCGGCCACAUUGGGACUGAGACACGGCCCAAACUCCUACGGGAGGCAGCAGUAGGGAAUCUUCGGCAAUGGACGAAAGUCUGACCGAGCAACGCCGCGUGAGUGAAGAAGGGUUUCGGAUCGUAAAACUCUGUUGGUAGAGAAGAACGUUGGUGAGAGUGGAAAGCUCAUCAAGUGACAGUAACUACCCAGAAAGGGACGGCUAACUACGUG
rnacentral:rRNA from 1 species